UGGAUAUUUUAUAAUGUUAUUAUUACAGAAUCUAAAAGAUAUUUAAUUUUAAAUCGACCGCGACGGAUAGUAAAUAGUAAAUAACUUUUUUGGCAAUCGGGUAAUCAAUUGUUAUAUAGUACGAAUUAAUAAAUACCUAUGCGUUUAUGAUAACAAAUAUAAAAUACAGGUUAAUAAAAUGGUAUCCAGUCAUAAUUUCAAUUUUAUUUUAGGUAGGUAACCAAAUAAUAAUGGCAACCAAUAAAUAAAAAAAAAAACUAGUUUUUAGGGUUAUGUACGGUAAAAUGGGGCCCUAUUAUAAAGCUCCGCUGUCCGCUUGUCCGUCCGUGUAGAAAAGUCAUAAACUCAUAAAGGAAACGAGUCAUCGUCGAGGGUAUACAACUAAAAUUUAAAAUGUUAUCUACUAUCUUAUCAUUAUUAUAAUGUGUGAGGAAUCCCAUAGGCCAUAAUCAUGGUUCUAAUACCAUUCCUACCACGAUAUGUAUCUUUAACCAUAGUAGAUACAACUAUACAAAAUACCUAUUUUAGUAACAUCCCUGUCAAUUUUAUUUGCAGUUAUUAAUCAUUAUACAAAUGUACCCAUAUAUUAUAUAUUAACUAGUUACUUACAUGACAAAAUAGAUCUAUUUUGUCAUGGUUACUCAUACGUAUUCGUAAUUCUUAUAAUCGUAUUGCACUAUUAGGUGUCAUUACGUCAGCGGCCCAUUUGCAAUAAAAUAUUAUCGGUACAAAAAUUAAAAAUCAUGUUCCGAAAAUUCCGUCUAAAUAUGUUGUAGUCGCAAGGUAAGGGAUUAAUUUUUUAGUUUUGGAUAAAUAAAAAAUAAAAAUAUAAUUCUGUGUUCAUAAUUUAUCAUAUAAGUUUAUUAUUAUGUUAGGUAAGGUAUUAUUGUAGAUAGGUAUGUAGUACCUAAUACCGGUAUGAAUACCAGUAGACAGUAGUCAUCAAUAUAUUAUAAUUUAUAAUAUUGUUUCGCAUUUACACUUACACAGUUCUGCAUUUACGUGGUAAGAAGUAUGCAAUUUAAAAACCAGAUAAAUCUAAACAGCAAAAACCAGAUAAACCCAAACAGCAAAAACCAGAGUGCGAGUGUAUAUUAUGUCCUCAAAACCAUUACAAAAUAUUAUGGACGAUAUGCAAUAAAUUACCGUAUGGUAAUUGGAAAGAACCAUAUCAAAAAAGAAACAAUAAAUAUUAUAAUAUAAUAUUCUUGUUUGGUUUGGUUUCAUUGAUUGGUUCUACUACAAUUAUACCAUGUCGGCCUGAUAUCCUGUCGGCCAAACGCCGUCGGCUUUAUAUCUUGUCGGCCUACUGGUUGUCGGCUCAACGUCGUGAUCCCGGUCAAAAUGGACAUAGACUGACCAGUUUGAACACCUAGUCUCUGAUUGGAAAUUAUGAUUUCUGAUAAGUUCAACUGGACAACAUUGAAGGUUUCAUAAAAAAAAAAAAAUUCCUAAAGUGUGACACUGUGUUGAAUCUUAAGGUAGCCGCUUUGGACACCUUUCCCCUACACACGACGAAAGAUGACGCAUACAUGGUGGACGACCCUACACUGAUCGUGUGGCCAAAAAUUGUAUGUGCUAUCAGUGAGUUCCGUGACCAACAACCGACGACGACAUUGACUUCGGAGGAUUCCAAGGUGUUGGAUGAGCUCACCGAAGACUUACUGGAUGCUACCGUUCAGAAGUCGAUAAAUGUACCAUCCUUAUCUCUGUGUCCGAAUGAAGAACAGUUGUCAUCUAUUUCACGUGACGAUGAUAGUAUUAAGUAUUAUAUUGUCAGAAUUGAAUGUACCAUGGAUUAUUAUUCCGAGGGUCAUGGACAAGUAAAUAGUUGGUAGAGCUUGACGAAGUCUCAUCAGAAAUUAGAAAUACAGAUUCAAAGUACGGAAAGCACCUUCCACCAUUACCGUUGUGUCUCGCGAGUGCGCCGGAAAUUGAACACAUGCCACCGAUACUGAAGAUAGUGAUUGUAUGGUACCUGACCAUGUGGCCAAUAACAUGCAGGUUUUAACAACGAUGGACAACCAGCAACCAUUAGGCGGAGAUUGUGAGCCAGACGUCCAGACCAAGAGACCAAUACUGUCAGAAAAAUUAAAAAGAUGUAAAAAACUAUACUCGUGGGCAUAAAUACAGAGGAGGAUUCUAAAUGUUUUCUGGCACACGUAUCGCCAAUUACACAACACGUUGUAGAGGAAACAUGCAAUUACAGCCAUGCGAGUCUCCUGCAAUUGAGAUAUCGUCACCAAAAUGACUGAUACCGCCGUGUGAUGUGACUGAGUGCAUCUGUGAGAAGACAACGAGUUGAGGAGACGAGAGAGAUGCAAAAUGAGAUGAUGACUGGUGGCAUCAAUCUAAAACUAAAGUUUAAAAUUUAUUAAAAUUAAUUUUUGUUGAAAAACUUUAAUCAUAUAAUGAUUGUUAAUUUUCUCAUAUUAUUAAAUAAACAGUGAAGCU